GCCGCACCAUAGAGAGUGUAAACCGAGACCAGAGAGGAGGCUGCCUCUCUAUGGUAACGCCCCGCACAGGCGCCGGCCUGACUGCCUUGGGUUUCGAGAGGUGAAAGCCCUAAGAGCUUUUGCCCCCACGGAGAACGUUAGUUGACCCUGAUGGGGACCCGUACGGUGAAGGUUCUUUAAGAAAAGAGUGGCCAGAGUGUAGUUAGGACCCUUAGGGAGUUGCAGCAAAACUCGGGCUAGACAAGGAGGGUCGGAUCUAAGCGGCCACAACAAGGUACCAGAAAGCAGGGAGUGUAAUAGAAGCUAAGGAGGAAUCUGAAAAAAAUAAAUAAAGAUAAAGAGGAGUCUGGAAAGCCUGGAUAAAAGUCGUCUGGCUGGAACUUCCUUUGAUGGGGGCGUCUAAUACCUGAAGGAAGCGGCCUUUCACUUCUGGGUUACGAGCGCCUGCCCAUCAGGAAAACAGACGGCCCGGUACGUGCCUCAAGGACCCUUGAGUCGGCCAGCACGAGUCCCUUCUUACUUAAGCGCCUCCACAAAUAACGCAGCUACAGUCCUCCCUCGCGUACGUUAACCUUCGGAUGACAUGUGGGAAAAUAUUUUGGAGGAUAGAGAGCUAUGCAAAUUACAGGGUUGUCUUCAAGGAUCCUGAAGGACCCACGGUUUUGCUUCGUCAAGCCUCCACGCUCGCCGGACUCAAGAGCUAGAACCUAGAAGUGGAAGGUGUGGAGAGGGUCAGUUAGCAGAACACGCCAUGCACCAUGCCCUGGAGCCUACUCGACGAAGAGGAAGGGGGAUCGCUUUGAAUUGGGUAUGAAAAAUGAAGAUUUAAACUAAACUGGAUUGUUUUACUCACUGAAAGUGCUGGAGAAGAAUUGGCACGUGCCCCAAAUGCCAUUUGGACAUGGGAAAGGAGCCUUGUCAGAGCACGGUUGAAGGCGGGGAUGGCACGAGAGAUUAGAUCACGUUCUUAUGUUCAUGCUUCACUGAACCGAAACUUCUCCAUAAACUGGUUGCAUAAAUAUAAUGUAUGUAGAAUGCCUUGGGUGUAGGUAACACCAAGUAAACAAAGCUAUUAUUGUUGUUCUAGUUUGGAGACGAUGAAAUGAGUGCCCCACAAGACAGAGGGUCAAAACAAUGAGCUAUUGACUUCUCCACACCAUUGGAAGGAUCCAGGGGCUGUGGGAGAAAUGGCUGAUUCCAAGUUUGAAGCAGGGAUAGUACAAGACACUCCUGGGAAACCUUUCACUAAGAAAAGCAAAGAAGAUUUCAAUGACAGGGUUGUGUCAAAGGGACACAGGAGCAAGCCUGAAGGGGCAACCGCCAGCCAAAGCUGAGCUGAUCGUGCUAACCCAUUAUUAGAGAAUUGUUCAUUGAGGGGAAAGAAUUAAUCAUUUAUCCUGCCUUUCCAGUAGAAAAUGUAUUUCAGUGUAACCAAACAUUUGUAAGCGAUCAGAGAAAGCUUUUCUUUAGAGAAGAGUGCCAGCUAAUAAAUGCAGGACAAAUGAUAGAACUAUGAAAUUUAAGUCUUUCCAGCCCUUAUGAAAUAGGGAUUUGGACAAGAAUUAUCAGUAGAUGCCAAAACCUUUAGUUAAAAGUCUGCUGGAGAAUUGUAUACCUGCAUAAUGCUAAACUGUUAUCCCACAAUCAACAUAAUUGUUCAGGGGAAGCUGUUGCCACCUUAACACAGGGAUCACUCUCAGCAUUGCUAAUAGUGGCAAGGACACAUUGUGUUCCUCUUGGUGUGAUGCAAUAGGAACAGCAUCACCUGCAAAACAAUUCUUGUCAAAGUAUUUAAAAUCAUACCCAGGCUUGGGUGGCUCAAGCCUGUAAUCCCAGAUCUUUGGGAGGCUGAUGCAGGAGGAUAGCUUGAGGUCAGGAG